CGGCGGUAUCCCUGAACAGGAAAGAUCAACUGUCCAAGCAGAGUCCGAGUCCGAGGCCGUGGUUCUGUUUUGAAAUGUUGGAGCAGGACAAACAUGGCUGCCAUGGACCAACCGUCGCUCUUUAACUAAAGAGGGAGGCUCAGUGCAGGAACUGCACAGCAAAACAAACUGCAAGAACCCGUGAUGCUGGAGCUCAAACGCCCAGAGACAGACAACAGGAAGCUCCCUGGACCGGAUCGCCACGGGACUCUGUGA